AAUGGACGCAAGUCUGACGGAGCGACGCCGCGUGGAGGACGAAGGCCCUUGGGUUGUAAACUCCUGUCACAGGUUAUGAAAAGCGUACGUUAAUAGCGUGCGACCUGACGUAAGCCUGAGAGGAUGCACCGGCUAACUCUGUGCCAGCAGCCGCGGUAAUACAGAGGGUGCAAACGUUGUUCGGAAUCACUGGGCAUAAAGCGCACGUAGGCGGUUCGUAAGUGUGAAGUGAAAGCCCACGGCUCAACCGUGGAACUGCUUUGCAUACUGCAGGACUUGAGGACGGUAGGGGAGAGCGGAACUCCUGGUGGAGCGGUGAAAUGCGUAGAUAUCAGGAGGAACACCGGUGGCGAAGGCGGCUCUCUGGUCCGUUUCUGACGCUGAGGUGCGAAAGCCAGGGUAGCGAACGGGAUU
rnacentral:rRNA from 1 species